AAAGAUUUGUCUUCUUCAUCUCCAUAUCUACAAAGUGAUUCUACAUUUCCUUGGACAACACUGGAGGGCCCGCUCAGUCUUGGCACUGACGCUGGAGGCCAUCUCCAGCUCCCUGGCCCCUGUGGCGAGCUGGCGGCUUCAGGUGUCACAGGCCGGCUGCUCCAGGCCUUCGAGGGGGAGCUGGCUCCUGUGGGGGGAGUUGGGGCUCGGUGGGCCGCUGGGGUUGGAGCUAUUCGAUGGAGUUGAGUGUUUGGUGGAGUCCGAAUCAGGCUGUGAACAGGAAGAGGGCAGGGUGAGCACCCGCUGCCCUAGCCUGGGGAGGCACGCGUGCCCAGCUGGAUGCAAAUGUUUGCUCAGGGACAACUGUCGCAACUGCUCUUCUCCCUUCAUGUUAUGAAAACACACACGCUCUACACCAGCGAUUCGUGGGGCCCUUAGGCGUGCUGGUGAGAGUCACAAAUUGAUGUCUAAUCCCACUCAAAAAUAACAUGGUAAUUAUCAUUACAAAAGACAGCAACUCUGUAGUGAAGAAAUCAGAUGGGGCCGGACGCAGUGGCUCCUGCCUGUAAUCCCAGCACUUUGGGAGGCCAAGGUAGGAGGACAGCUUGAGCCCAGGAGUUGGGAGACCAGCCUGGGCAACAAAGUGAGACCCUGCCUCUAUAUUAUUAUGAAAAUAAAAAAAACAAAAAAAUUGUUGUUUUGUGAAUUUCACUUAAAUUUAAAAGAACAAACAAGGUCAUGCAGACGAGACAGGCACUGGCUGCCUCAGGACACAGUACCCUAAGAGGGACACCAUGUCCUCUGUAUAAUGUGACAGCCUAAGACACA
ensembl:lncRNA novel transcript, antisense to CDC42BPB